UUAGAAUUGCAAAGGAUCCAAAUAUUUCAAAAGGCUUUUCUGGCGAACGGUUCAAUGCUGCACACAUCAAUGCUGCGAGAAACGGACUAAAAGUCGUUGCUCUUCACCGCUAUUUAUAGGUUUUUGGAUCAAAGGAUCAAAGGAUCAGAAUGGUGGUAAAAUUCUACAUGUGUGUGACGUCAUAAUUCUGUAAGGCAAUGAGGUUGUCACGUGAUAUUUUUGGAGGAGGGCAUUUUUCAACUUGGACAAAUUAUCAAUAAAGUUUCAAUCUCUGUUAUUUUCCCCAAAAACGUGUUGUCGCAAUAAUGUUUUCUAUUGUAAUUUGUGCCAACAGAUGGCGCAGUUUAAAGUUGGCUGUUACUCUGCCCAGGCUGCUACCAUAGAAGAAGAAUGUAGACCAAUAGUACUUUAACGAUGUCCGCUGAUCGUUUCCGUGGAAAUCUUAGCAUUGCUUUAGCCGUCAAGCUAAAGGUUUAGCUUCAUACUGCCAUAUUUUCAGAGUAACAAAAUAUUUAAACGGUCUCAGAUCAUGGACAGUGAAGUGUCUGACACUGACCAUGUACCAGUGCCUGAGAACACUGGUAUGGAGGGGGAGAACGCACCUCUUUACUGUAUUUGUCAGAAACCAGACAUCAACUGCUUCAUGAUGCUUUGCCAUGAUAAAUUGGUCAGUUGACAACCAGGAGCCGUACACCUUAACCUCAGAGGCCAGGACAUCCAGGGGCAGUGUGAACACGCACUUGUUUAAAUGGGACGCAAGACGGACUAUAGAGGGCCACCCCCUUGCCAGACAACCAAGUGCUGUCCCUGUCCACGGCCAGUGUGAGAAGGACUCUCACUAAAGUCAACCCACACAAAGCUGCUGGACCAGACAAUAUACCUGGACGCGUGCUCAGAGCCCGUGCUGACCAGCUGACUGAUGUCCUAGCAGGCAUCUUUAACAUCUCCCUGAGUCAAGCGGUUGUGCCACAGUGCUUUAAAACCACCACCAUCAUACCUGUCCCCAGACCUUCCCAAAGCCUAAUUACACAAUGAUUGCCUGAGCCUAUUCUUGUUAAAUGAUGAAAAACUCAAAGGCACGUUUGGGCAGUGGAUCUGUGUGAAAUCAGCAGCUUGCAAAACUAAAUCAAAAUGUGUGCUAUUGAUUCUAAAAAUAGAAAUCACAAUAAAGUUCAACAUUUACUAAAACCGCCAUUCAGUCAUCUGAGAAUCUUUCCUCAUGAAAUUAUAACGGUUAGAUGAAUGUAUAUGCAGUGAUUUACUGAUCAAUGAUAAAAGGGGAGAUUUAUGCAAUAACGAAGACUGUCAUGAAAAGUAUUUGGCAUCUGAUCUCCUGUAACCUGCGGAGCUAAGCUGUUUUACCAGCUCUGCUCUCUGAUUUUUCUUUUAUGAAAAAACACAAGUUGUCAAAGUUAUUUGUUUGCAAAUGUAUUUCAGAAAUAUCGACAUACUUUUUUUAAUCAGCAGAAACUUUAUGUCAGUAGUGCAAAAACCUGCACUGAUCUGACCUCAUUUCUUCCUCAUCCUGAUUCCUGACCUGGGAAGGGAGAGAAAUAUUUGUUUUUGUUUGUCUUCUUGUUUUAUUUAAUUCCUUGUGGGAUUUGGAUCCAACACGUAAAGUAUGCAUAUUAUGCACACACACAAACACACAUGCAGCUAUUACCCAUUUCUUGUAUUCUUGAAUAAAGACAUUGAUUUGACACAUUUAAUUAGCGGCCAAUUGUUUUUAUUGUUCAAUUAUUAAGAAAAAAGAAAAGGUGGGGGUGGGUGGGAUGUAAAGGGAGAGAGGAGAGAAAACCCCAACAAUCCCCUCUGAGCAAGCACGAGGCGACAGUGGAUAGGAAAAACUCCCUUUAAAGGAAGAAACCUAUGACAGAACCAGGCUCUAGAGGGGGCAGUCAACUGUCGGGACU
ensembl:lncRNA